UGGGGAAUAUUGGACAAUGGGGGCAACCCUGAUCCAGCCAUGCCGCGUGAGUGAUGAAGGCCUUCGGGUUGUAAAGCUCUUUUGGCGGGGACGAUGAUGACGGUACCCGCAGAAUAAGCCCCGGCUAACUUCGUGCCAGCAGCCGCGGUAAGACGAAGGGGGCUAGCGUUGUUCGGAAUUACUGGGCGUAAAGCGAGUGUAGGUGGUUGUCCAAGUUGGAUGUGAAAGCCUUGAGCUCAACUCAAGAAAUGCAUUCAGGACUGGGCGGCUAGAGGACCGGAGAGGAUAGUGGAAUUCCCAGUGUAGUGGUGAAAUACGUAGAGAUUGGGAAGAACACCAGUGGCGAAGGCGGCUAUCUGGACGGUUUCUGACACUAAGACUCGAAAGCGUGGGGAGCAAACAG
rnacentral:rRNA from 1 species